UUAAGGGGAAACUAACAUGGCUGGCCAAAGGAAAUCCUGUUUGUGGGAGUUCUAGAGGUAAGAUCCUAAAACACAAACUACACUCGUAGAUGCUCAAGUGGCUGGUCUUUCGGACAGGGGUUCGAUUCCCCUCACCUCCACCA
rnacentral:tmRNA from 1 species